AUUAGCCCCGAUAGUAACGGCAUCCUUUUUCUUUUCAAGAAAAAGAUAUAGUGGAUAGCGGGAAAUAG
rnacentral:sRNA from 1 species